ACUUUUGAGAGUUUGAUCCUGGCUCAGAACGAACGCUGGCGGCGCGCCUAACACAUGCAAGUCGAACGAGAAUCC
rnacentral:rRNA from 1 species